rnacentral:rRNA from 1 species
UGGUCAAGCCUCACGGCUGAUUAGUAUCGGUAAGCUCAACGUGUCGCCACGCUUACACAUCCGACCUAUAUACCUGGUCAUCUUCCAGGAGCCUUUAGGAGCCUUACGGCUCGGGAGAUCUCAUCUUGUGGAGGGUUUCACGCUUAGAUGCCUUCAGCGUUUCUCCCUUCCGGACGUAGCUACCCGGCGCUGCCGCUGGCGCGACAACCGGUACACUAGAGGUCCGUCCAUCCCGGUCCUCUCGUACUAAGGACAGCCCCACGCAAAUCUCCUGCGCCCAUGGCAGAUAGAGACCGAACUGUCUCGCGACGUUCUAAACCCAGCUCACGUACCACUUUAACCGGCGAACAGCCGGACCCUUGGAACCUGCUACAGCUCCAGGAUGUGAUGAGCCGACAUCGAGGUGCCAAACCUGAGCGUCGAUGUGAACUCUUGGCUCAGAUCAGCCUGUUAUCCCCGGCGUACCUUUUAUCCGUUGAGCGAUGGCCCUUCCACGCGGAACCACCGGAUCACUAAAGCCUGGUUUCCCACCUGCUCGUCUUGUAGGACUCGCAGUCAAGCUCGCUUCUGCUUUUGCACUCUCUGGCUGAUUUCCAAACAGCCUGAGCGAACCUUCGCGCGCCUCCGUUACACUUUAGGAGGCGACCGCCCCAGUCAAACUACCCACCUAGCAGUGUCCCUGUCCUGGAUGACAGAACGAGGUUAGAACGCCGAAGCGCUAAGGGUGGUAUCUCACCGUUGGCUCCCCCGAGUCCGAGAACCCGGGAUCAAAGCCUCCCACCUAUCCUGCGCAUAGCGCGUCAGCAUUCACUACUAGGAUGUAGUAAAGGUGCACGGGGUCUUUUCGUCUAGCCACGGGCAACCGGCGUCUUCACCGGUACCACAAAUUCGCAGUGCCCCUCGUUGAGACAGCGCCCAAAUCAUUACGCCAUUCGUGCAGGUCGGAACUUACCCGACAAGGAAUUUCGCUACCUUAGGACCGUUAUAGUUACGGCCGCCGUUUACCGGGGCUUCAGCUCAAAGCUUCGCCUUGCGGCUAACCUCUCCCUUUAACCUUCCGGCACCGGGCAGGCGUCAGGCCAUAUACGUCGUAUUCGACUUAGCAUAGCCCUGUGUUUUUAGUAAACAGUUGCUUGGGCCUCUUUAUUGCAACUCCCUCACGCUUCGCGGCGCGAAGCCGCUGACGCUAACGGAGCACCCCUUCUUCCGAAGUUACGGGGUGAGUUUGCCGAGUUCCUAAACGAGGGUUCUCACUCGCACCUGAGGAUUUUCUCCUCGCCUACCUGUGUCGGUUUGCGGUACGGGUACCCAAAAGACUCCUUAGAGGAUUUUCUCGGCAGCGUGGCGUCUGUGACUUUGCGAGCCUUGCGGCUCUCGCUAUGACACCUCAGGGAAUAUGACCCACCGGAUUUACCUGGCGGAUCCCCCUACAUGUCUAAACCUACACGUCCAAUCGUAGGCUCACAUAGCCUCCUGCGUCUCCCCAUCGUGAUAACGUCUUCGAGGUAGUUCUGGAAUAUUAACCAGAUAUCCAUCCGCUACGCCUUUCGGCCUCGCGUUAGGACCCGACUAACCCUGAGCGGACGAACCUUCCUCAGGAAACCUUAGGCUUACGGUGGAAAGGAUUCUCACCUUUCUUAUCGCUACUUAUGCCGGCAGGGUCACUUCUCACCACUCCACCAGUCCUUUCGGUCUGGCUUCACGGCUGUGAGAACGCUCCUCUACCAAUAUGCAGACCCGCAGGUCCGCGUCUAUUCUAUGGCUUCGGUCUUGUGCUUAAGCCCCGUUGGAUUGUCGGCCCAAAGCCGCUUGACCAGUGAGCUAUUACGCUUUCUUUAAAGGAUGGCUGCUUCUAAGCCAACCUCCUGGUUGUCUGAGCGUCUUCAGAUCCUUUCCCACUUAGCACAAAGUUUGGGACCUUAGCCGAUAGUCUGGGCUGUUUCCCUUUCGACGAUGAAGCUUAGCCCCCACCGUCUCACUCCCGGGAUACGUGUCGUUGGCAUUCGCAGUUUAGUUGGAUUCAGUAAGCUGGUAAGCCCCCUAGUCCAUCUAGUUCUCUACCACCAACGCCGACCUCCCGAGGCUGCUCCUAAAAGCAUUUCGAGGAGAACGGGCAAUCACGAGGUUUGAUUAGCCUUUCACCCCUACCCUCAGCUCAUCCGAGCUGUUUUCAACCAACACCGGUUCGGACCUCCAUACGGUGUUACCCGUACUUCAUCCUGGCCAAGGGUAGAUCACCUCGCUUCGCGUCUAUUCCCAGCGACUGGACGCCCAUUUCGGACUCGCUUUCGCUACGGCUCGCUUACGCUUAACCUCGCCACUGAGAAUAACUAGCCGGCUCAUUAUGCAAAAGGCACGCGGUCAGGCAUUCCGAACCGAAGUCCGGCAUAGCCCUCCCACUGCUUGUAGGUAUACGGUUUCAGGUACUAUUUCACUCCCCUCACAGGGGUUCUUUUCACCUUUCCCUCACGGUACUGGUUCACUAUCGGUCACCAGGAAGUAUUUAGCCUUACGAGAUGGUCCUCGUAGCUUCCCACGGGAUUUCACGUGUCCCGCGGUACUCAGGAACCUGUCCAGCGAGCCAAUCGGCUGUCGUCUACCGGGCUGUCACCGUCUCUGGCCGAUCGUUCCAGAUCGUUCGACUAGCUGAUUGGUUGUUCACUCGCCGGCCUUGCGGCCAAACAGGCCCUACAACCCCGGAGUGCAAGCACCCCGGUUUGGGCUGUUCCGCGUUCGCUCGCCGCUACUAGCGGAAUCACUAUUGUUUUCUAUUCCUGCAGGUACUGAGAUGGUUCACUUCCCUGCGUUAUCUUCUCACCGCCUAUGUAUUCAGCGGAGGAUCCUUCGGGAUUAGCCAAAGGGGGUUUCCCCAUUCGGAAAUCCCCGGGUCAAAGCCUAUUUGCGGCUCACCGGGGCUUAUCGCAGCUUAUCGCGUCCUUCAUCGACUCCUGGUGCCAAGGCAUUCACCGUACACCCUUAGUAGCUUGACCAUAAGA